rnacentral:rRNA from 1 species
GUAAAUUGCUGGUCAAGCAAAUAAGAGCAUAAGGUGAAUGCCUUGGCACUAGGAGCCGACGAAGGACGUGGCAAGCUGCGAAAAGCUGCGGUGAGGAGCAAACAUCCGUCAACCCGCAGAUGUCCGAAUGGGGGAACCCACCUAUGGUAAUGCGUAGGUAUCCUAUGAUGAAUAAAAUAGUCAUAGAGAAGGUAACCCGGGGAACUGAAACAUCUAAGUACCCGGAGGAAGAGAAAGAAACAUCGAUUUCCUAAGUAGCGGCGAGCGAAAGGGAAAGAGGCCAAACCAGUGCUUGCACUGGGGUUGUGGACACUCAUCACGUAUGGCGUGUAUAGUCAAAGUUGUCUGGAAAGGCAAACCGAAGAGGGUAAAAGUCCCGUAGACGAAAUGCACAAGAUGCAGAGUGAAUCCAGAGUACCACCGGACACGUGAAACCCGGUGGGAAGCCGGGGGGCCCACCCCCCAAGCCUAAAUACUACCUAGUGACCGAUAGUGAACAGUACCGUGAGGGAAAGGUGAAAAGAACCCCGGGAGGGGAGUGAAAUAGAACCUGAAACCUUAUGCUUACAAGCAAAGGGAGCGCAAGUGACCUUGUACUUUUUGUAGAACGGGCCAACGAGUUAUGGUAUGUAGCAAGGUUAAGGUGCUGGAGCACUGGAGCCGUAGCGAAAGCGAGUCUGAAUAGGGCGGUUAGUUGCAUGCUGUAGACCCGAAACCGGGUGACCUAUCCAUGUGCAGGUUGAAGCGAGAGUAAAAUCUCGUGGAGGACCGAACUCAUGUCUGUUGAAAAAGGCUGGGAUGACGUGUGGAUAGCGGUGAAAUUCCAAUCGAACCCGGAUAUAGCUGGUUCUCCUCGAAAUAGCUUUAGGGCUAGCCUCAAGGAAAAUGAUACUCGGAGGUAGAGCACUGAAUGUUCUAGGGGCCUUCACCGGUUACCGAAAACUAUCAAACUCCGAAUGCCGAAGUAUUAAACUUGGGAGUCAGACUAUGUGAGAUAAGUUUCAUAGUCGAAAGGGAAACAGCCCAGACCAACAGCUAAGGUCCCAAAAUGUAAGUUAAGUGGAAAAGGAUGUGGAGCUGCAUAAACAGCUAGGAUGUUGGCUUAGAAGCAGCCACUCAUUUAAAGAGUGCGUAAUAGCUCACUAGUCGAGUGGCUCUGCGCCGAAGAUAAACGGGGCUAAAACUUACUACCGAAGCUUUGGAAUUAUCGUAAGAUAAUUGGUAGAGGAGCAUCGUAUGCGGGCAGAAGCGAAGCCGGAAGGCUUGGUGGACUGCAUACGAGAGAGAAUGUUGGCAUGAGUAGCGUAAGGCAGGUGAGAAUCCUGUCCACCGAAAAUCUAAGGUUUCCUGAGGAAGGUUCGUCCACUCAGGGUUAGUCGGGGCCUAAGCCGAGAGCGAACGCUGUAGGCGAUGGACAACUGGUUGAGAUUCCAGUACCACCGAAAUUCGUUUGAGCGAAGUGGGGACACAGAAGGAUAAGCUGAGCGCACCGUUGGUAGAGUGCGUCUAAGCGUCAAGGGAGAACAGGUAGGCAAAUCCGCUUGUUCAAUUCUGAGGCGUGAUGGGGAGGGAAAAUAUAGUACCGAAGCAGCUGAUUUCACACUGUCAAGAAAAGCCGCUAGCGAGAAUGUAGGUGCCCGUACCGUAAACCGACACAGGUAGAUGAGGAGAGAAUCCUAAGGUGAGCGAGAGAACUAUUGUUAAGGAACUCGGCAAAAUAACCCCGUAACUUCGGGAGAAGGGGUGCCUGCGAAAGCAGGCCGCAGUGAAAAGGCCCAGGCGACUGUUUACCAAAAACACAGGUCUCUGCAAAAGCGAAAGCUGAAGUAUAGGGGCUGACGCCUGCCCGGUGCUGGAAGGUUAAGGGGACUGCUUAGGGUAACCGAAGGCAUGAACUUAAGCCCCAGUAAACGGCGGCCGUAACUAUAACGGUCCUAAGGUAGCGAAAUUCCUUGUCGGGUAAGUUCCGACCCGCACGAAAGGCGUAACGAUCUGGGCACUGUCUCAACAAUAGACUCGGUGAAAUUGUAGUACCGGUAAAGAUGCCGGUUACCCGCAGCAGGACGGAAAGACCCCAUGGAGCUUUACUGCAGCUUGAUAUUGGAUUUCGGCGUUGCAUGUACAGGAUAGGUGGGAGGCUACGAAGCUAGGACGCCAGUUUUAGCGGAGCCACCGUUGGGAUACCACUCUUGUAACGUUGAAGUUCUAACCAUGUACCGUGAACCGGUACUGGGACAGUGUCAGGCGGGCAGUUUGACUGGGGCGGUCGCCUCCUAAAGAGUAACGGAGGCGCCCAAAGGUUCCCUCAGCGCGGACGGAAAUCGCGCGAAGAGUGUAAAGGCAGAAGGGAGCUUGACUGCGAGACCAACAAGUCGAGCAGGGACGAAAGUCGGGCUUAGUGAUCCGGUGGUACCGAGUGGAAGGGCCAUCGCUCAACGGAUAAAAGCUACCCUGGGGAUAACAGGCUGAUACCGCCCAAGAGUCCACAUCGACGGCGGUGUUUGGCACCUCGAUGUCGGCUCGUCUCAUCCUGGGGCUGAAGUAGGUCCCAAGGGUUGGGCUGUUCGCCCAUUAAAGAGGUACGCGAGCUGGGUUCAGAACGUCGUGAGACAGUUCGGUCCCUAUCCGCUGUGGGCGUAAGAAAUUUGAGUGGAGCUGUCCUUAGUACGAGAGGACCGGGAUGGACAUACCUCUGGUGCACCAGUUGUCUUGCCAAAGGCAUAGCUGGGUAGCUACGUAUGGAAGGGAUAAGCGCUGAAAGCAUCUAAGUGCGAAGCCCCCCACAAGAAAAGAUUUCCUCCAGAAAUGGUAAGACCCGUGAGAGACUAUCACGUUGAUAGGUCGGAGGUGGAAGUGCAGUAAUGCAUGGAGCUGACCGAUACUAAUAGGUCGAGCGCUUGACCAAAA